rnacentral:misc_RNA from 1 species
AAACGUAGAAGGGACCGAUGGUAGAUGAUUGAGCAGUGGUGCCACCUGUAACACCUGCCAGAGCCAAAUGGGCAUAAAGAGUCAGGGCCUGAGUUAGAAAUUCAGUUCAAGAGACGCUCUAGAACGUGUGGAUGCGUCUUGAAACGGUUGCACUUCUAAUUGUUACGACAAAAUUGUGUUAAUACUGUGAUAAAAACGUGUUGUGUUAGAAAGACGAUUAAAGAAAAUUAGUAAUUUAUUAAUGGAUGUUGAACAUUAAUUGGUUCAAAUUUGAAUUGUGAAAUAAGAUUUUUACAACGUGGAAGAGAAGCAGAACGGGACACAAACGAUGCCAAAGCAAUGCAGGCAAAAUUUUGUACUUCUUCAUUUCUUAUUUCUUCAAUAAUUCCUUCUGUAGGGAUAGAUUUGAAUCGUAAUCAUGUAGUAUGCAGAUUCAUUUUAAUUUCAAGUGAUGUGGAAUUGCAGUUACAUAGAAAUGGUGACUGUUGUUGCAUCGUGUCGAUAUUGCAAGAUCGAUAAAAAUCGCACGCAUCCGGGUUUAACAAUUUUUAAAAAUAAAAGCCAUGGGUGACCGAAUAUAAAAUAAAGAAGAAACGUAUUCACGGAGUGAAUCAGUGUCAGAUACGUUACAACUGACGUGAUGUUAUUAGUACAUACCAAUGAAACAAUGGCGUGUUAAAUUAUUCAUGAGGUCAUUGUUGCAUCGUAACGCAGAUUCAAACGUCGAGCAAUUUGAGUUUCGCAGGCUAUAGUGGACCACGAUGCAUCUUUAUCCGAUGCCCUGAAGCAAAUGGCCGGUAUACAUAUGUCGAAAGAGUUGCGUCAGGCGAGAAGAAAAAUCUGCGAAUCGGACCGGUUGUAACAACGAGUCAAUCUACUAGAGAGGAAAAAAAUUCCAAGAUAUCGUGUGUAAGGUUCGCGUUACGUUCAGAAAGACAUACCGAAGAUAGCUAUCUCGGCUCUGUGUCGAUGUACGUCAGUAAAAAGAGAAAUUCUGCAUUAGAAAGAAUAGAUUAGUGAGAAAAUACUAUGCAAGGAGAAUGUAUUAACGGGAAGAGAGAGGGAGGUAUUCGUUAAACUUUUCACUGGAUUCCACUGGAACGAACUUGGUCCAAUUAAUGCGAUUACUAUGCACCGGAAGCUCCACAUUGUCGUAACAAGGAUGAUCAAAUUUUAAUUCGAAAAGGGAAUCUUAAUAGCACCUUGGGAUUUUAACCUCGCCCUCGUAAAGAACGGCUUAUGUGACUAAGUGGUCGUGAAAGGGUACAAAAAGGAUAAAAAAUAAAGAGAAGAAAGGAAAAUAAAAAAAGAAAGAGGUAUAUUACGUUUGAUAUGACGUGAAAAGCAGGAGAAGGAGGAGAAGAAUAUUCAUGAAGGAAAAAGAAACAGCAAGGGAACUCUAACUUCAGAAGAGGAUUUCCCUUUAUCAUUCAAAACAGCGCAGGAAGGAAACACAUGUGGGAAACAACGACAGAACUCUUCAACUCUUAUAUGCAAAUCACAAACGUUCUCAGUUAACAGGGAGUGUGACGAUCAAAGGGAUUGAAAACUUUCAGACAUGUGCACGUGCGUACACACUUAAUCGACAGUUAAAGGAGAAGAAAAAGAAAAGCG